rnacentral:rRNA from 1 species
GACGAACGCUGGCGGCGUGCUUAACACAUGCAAGUCGAACGGAAAGGCCCUGCGUUUGUUGGGUUCUCGAUUGGCGAACGGGUGAGUAACACGUGUGUAACCUGCCCUUGACUUUGUGAGAACUUCAGGAAACUGGGGCUAAUACCGGAGAUGAUCUCUUGCUGCAUGGUGGUGGUUGGAAAGUUUCGGCUGUUGUGGCUGGUCUCGCGGCUUAUCAGCUUGUUGGGGUGGUAGUGGCGUACCAAGGCUUUGACGGGUAGCCUGCCUGGGAGGGUGACCGGCGACAAUGGGACUGCGAUACGGCGCAGAAGGCUAUGGGCGGCAGCAGUGGGGAGUCUUGCAGAAUGGCGGGACGUCUGAUGUGGAAAUGUUGCGUGCGGGAUGCCGGCCUUCGAGUUGUAAACAAAUUUGGAAGGUGCUAAAGAGUGCGUGACGGUAAUGAGUCAGGAAGCCACGGCUAACUACGUG